AUGCAUUCUUGAAAACCCCCCAGUGUCUCUCCUCUGCCUCUGGGACAAGAAAGGGUGCAACAAAAAAUGUAGGAUUCCAAAGCUUGGAGGCAUGCUAGUUGCUCUCGGCUAUUUCACCCCUAAGACAAUA